UACGGAGGGUGCAAGCGUUAAUCGGAAUUACUGGGCGUAAAGCGUGCGUAGGUGGUUUGUUAAGUCAGAUGUGAAAGCCCCGGGCUCAACCUGGGAAUUGCAUUUGAGACUGCUCUGCUCGGGUGCGGAAGAGGGAAGCGGAAUUUCCGGUGUAGCGGUGAAAUGCGUAGAUAUCGGAAGGAACACCAGUGGCGAAAGCGGCUUCCUGGUCCGACACCGACGUUCAGGCACGAAAGCGUGGGGAGCAAACAGG
rnacentral:rRNA from 1 species